CGAGAAGUGGCCUAGUCCGGCAAGGCGCCUGCUUUGGGAGCAGGAGAUCGGGGGUUCGAGUCCCUCCUUCUCGA
rnacentral:tRNA from 1 species